AUGGUGGGACACCUGGCUUUGGAUUUCACCUUCUUGCCCCUUCCAGGUGGUGGAGGUAAUGGGUCAGCGGGGCGGGAGCUGGACUUGGCUAAGCUUCCAAGGCAGGAAUUGGGCCGGGUGUUGGGCCAGGCUCUGAGAUGUGGGGGUUUCUCCCGUGCCCCCCACUGCAUGAGUUCCGUGGGCAGAUGGUAUACUCUGGGUCUCCGGUUGCAGUGGGGCUAGUGCCCCAAGGUGGCUUGAAGACCUCUCAGCCUGAGGGCGAGGCAGGAGCCUGGGUGGAGAGCAACUGUGAGGGGCCUCCCUGGAGCCUUGCACUGCCCCAGCUGGUGCCAUGAAGCUAGAGAAGGAGAAGCUGGAGCAAAACCUCAACGAGUCCCAGGACAUCAAAGCUCUGUAAUUUGCCAAGCUCCUGAAGCAGAAGAGGAUCACCCUGGGAUAUAUCCAGGCCCGUGUGGGGCUCACCCUGGGGGCUCUUUUUUUAAAUCCUCUGGGGGGUUCUAUUUGGGAAGGUGUUCAGCCAAAUGACCAUCAGCUGCUUUGAGGCUCUGCAGCUCAGUUUCAAGAACAUGUGUAAGCUGCCUCCCUUGCUGCAGAAGUGGGUGGAGGAAGCAGCCAACAAUGAAGAGCUUCAGGAGAUAUGCAAAGCAGAGACCCUCAGGCAGAACCGAGUGAGAGGCAAGCUGGAGAACUUGUUCCUGCAGUGCCUGAAACCCACACUACAGCAGAUUAGCCACAUUGCCCAGCAGAUCAGCCACAUCAGCCAGUGCGCCCACAAACCCACACUGCAGCAGAUCUCCAGGUUGGGCUGGAGAGGAUGUGGCCCCAGUGUGGUUCUGUAACUGGCGCCAGAAGGGUAAGUGAUGAAGCAAUGACUAUGCACUACGAGAGGAUUUUCAGGCUGCUGGGUCUCCCUUAUCAGGGGGCCAGUGUUCUUUCCUCCGGCCCCAGGGCCCCAUUUUGAUACCCCAGGCUAUGGGAGCCCCCACUUCA
rnacentral:lncRNA from 1 species